rnacentral:rRNA from 1 species
CCAGACUCCUACGGGAGGCAGCAGUGGGGAAUAUUGGUCAAUGGGCGGGAGCCUGAACCAGCCAAGCCGCGUGAGGGAAGAAGGUACAGCGUAUCGUAAACCUCUUUUGUCAGGGAACAAAGGCGGGGACUAGUCCCCGGAUGAGGGUACCUGAAGAAAAAGCAUCGGCUAACUCCGUGCCAGCAGCCGCGGUAAUACGGAGGAUGCGAGCGUUAUCCGGAUUUAUUGGGUUUAAAGGGUGCGCAGGCGGAAGCGGCAAGUCAGCGGUAAAAUUGCGGGGCUCAACCUCGCCGAGCCGUUGAAACUGCUCUUCUAGAGUGGGCGAGAAGUAUGCGGAAUGCGUGGUGUAGCGGUGAAAUGCAUAGAUAUCACGCAGAACUCCGAUUGCGAAGGCAGCAUACCGGCGCCCAACUGACGCUCAUGCACGAAAGCGUGGGUAUCGAACAGGAUUAGAUACCCUCGUA